rnacentral:rRNA from 1 species
UACGGAGGGUGCGAGCGUUGUCCGGAUUUAUUGGGUUUAAAGGGUGCGUAGGUGGCUGUUUAAGUCAGUGGUGAAAUACGGUUGCUCAACAAUCGAGGUGCCAUUGAUACUGAAUAGCUUGAAAUAAUUGGAGGCUGCCGGAAUGGAUGGUGUAGCGGUGAAAUGCAUAGAUAUCAUCCAGAACACCGAUUGCGAAGGCAGGUGGCUACGAUUUGUUUGACACUGAGGCACGGAAGCAUGGGGAGCAAACAGG